rnacentral:rRNA from 1 species
GAUGAACGCUGGCGGCGUGCUUAACACAUGCAAGUCGAACGAAGCAUUUAAGACAGAUUACUUCGGUUUGAAGUCUUUUAUGACUGAGUGGCGGACGGGUGAGUAACGCGUGGGUAACCUGCCUCAUACAGGGGGAUAGCAGCUGGAAACGGCUGGUAAUACCGCAUAAGCGCACAGUACCACAUGGUACAGUGUGAAAAACUCCGGUGGUAUGAGAUGGACCCGCGUCUGAUUAGCUAGUUGGCGGGGUAACGGCCCACCAAGGCGACGAUCAGUAGCCGACCUGAGAGGGUGACCGGUCACAUUGGGACUGAGACACGGCCCAGACUCCUACGGGAGGCAGCAGUGGGGAAUAUUGCACAAUGGAGGAAACUCUGAUGCAGCUACGCCGCGUGAGUGAAGAAGUAGUUCGCUAUGUAAAGCUCUAUCAGCAGGGAAGAUAGUGACGGUACCUGACUAAGAAGCUCCGGCUAAAUACGUG